UACAGGGGGUGCAAACGUUGCUCGGAAUCAUUGGGCGUAAAGCGCACGUAGGCGGUCUGUUAUGUCGGAUGUGAAAGCCCUUGGCUCAACUGGAGGAAGUGCAUCCGAAACUGGCAGGCUAGAGUACUAAAGAGGAUCGCGGAAUUCUCGGUGUAGAGGUGAAAUUCGUAGAUAUCGGGAGGAACACCGGUGGCGAAGGCGGCGAUCUGGGUAGAUACUGACGCUGAGGUGCGAAAGCGUGGGGAGCAAACAGG
rnacentral:rRNA from 1 species